rnacentral:rRNA from 1 species
ACGUGGAUGAUCUACCUUCUGGUGGGGAAUAACCCUGCGAAACCGGGGCUAAUACCGCAUAAGUCCGACAGGAGAAAGCAGCAAUGCGCCGGAAGAGGAGUCCGCGGCCGAUUAGCUAGUUGGCAGGGUAAAAGCCUACCAAGGCAAAGAUCGGUGGCCGGCCUGAGAGGGCACACGGUCACACUGGCACUGAAACACGGGCCAGACUCCUACGGGAGGCAGCAGUGGGGAAUCUUGCACAAUGGGGGAAACCCUGAU